GUGCUUGCUUCAGCAGCACACAUACUAAAACUGGAAUGGUAGAGAUUAUCAUGAUCCCAUCACAAGGAUGACAAGGAAAUUCAUGAAAAAUUCCAUAAAUAU
ensembl:snRNA U6 U6 spliceosomal RNA